rnacentral:rRNA from 1 species
GACGAACGCUGGCGGCGUGCUUAACACAUGCAAGUCGAACGGUGAAGGUCAGCUUGCUGACCGGAUCAGUGGCGAACGGGUGAGUAACACGUGAGCAACCUGCCCCCUACUCUGGGAUAAGCCUUGGAAACGAGGUCUAAUACCGGAUACGAGAUGCACCGGCAUCGGUAGCGUCUGGAAAGAUUUAUCGGUGGGGGAUGGGCUCGCGGCCUAUCAGCUUGUUGGUGGGGUGAUGGCCUACCAAGGCGACGACGGGUAGCCGGCCUGAGAGGGCGACCGGCCACACUGGGACUGAGACACGGCCCAGACUCCUACGGGAGGCAGCAGUGGGGAAUAUUGCACAAUGGGCGCAAGCCUGAUGCAGCGACGCCGCGUGAGGGAUGACGGCCUUCGGGUUGUAAACCUCUUUCAGCAGGGAAGAAGCGCAAGUGACGGUACCUGCAGAAGAAGCGCCGGCUAACUACGUGCCAGCAGCCGCGGUAAUACGUAGGGCGCAAGCGUUGUCCGGAAUUAUUGGGCGUAAAGAGCUCGUAGGCGGUCUGUCGCGUCUGCUGUGAAAACCUCAGGCUCAACCUGGGGCUUGCAGUGGGUACGGGCAGACUAGAGUGCGGUAGGGGUGACUGGAAUUCCUGGUGUAGCGGUGGAAUGCGCAGAUAUCAGGAGGAACACCGAUGGCGAAGGCAGGUCACUGGGCCGCAACUGACGCUGAGGAGCGAAAGCAUGGGGAGCGAACAGGAUUAGAUACCCUGGUAGUCCAUGCCGUAAACGUUGGGCACUAGGUGUGGGGUCCAUUCCACGGAUUCCGUGCCGCAGCAAACGCAUUAAGUGCCCCGCCUGGGGAGUACGGCCGCAAGGCUAAAACUCAAAGAAAUUGACGGGGGCCCGCACAAGCGGCGGAGCAUGCGGAUUAAUUCGAUGCAACGCGAAGAACCUUACCAAGGCUUGACAUGCACCGGUAACACUCAGAGAUGGGUGCCCCGCAAGGUCGGUGCACAGGUGGUGCAUGGU